AGGCAUUGAGUCAGAGGGCAGAGAGGGGUCAAGGAGACCCAGGCGGGAGGCGCGGAAGCAUACAGUCUGCGGGGACAAGGACUGAACGGGGUAGUGGGAGCCAGGUCCCUGGUUCCCUUCACGCCCCCACCCCCAGCCUCAGCUCUGUCUGGGUGGAACGAAUGUCUGCUAAUGAACUAAACAAACAGGUCUCUUAAUCUUAUCAUGGAGCUGACCCAGAGACUGGCACAGAUAUCCAAAGUAUCAUAAUUGGCAGGUCAGAAUUAAAACUACAUACAUCAUGGUGACUUUAUAGCUGAGGCAAAGUGGAGCUCAAGUGUUACUUUCCCAGUAAGCAAAUCAUAAUGAAGUAUCAUGCUGGUGACUAAUUUAACUAACAUUGUCCAGGAAAUUGCUGUUGUCCAGGAAGAGAAGAGUUGAGCCGAGUGUCAACUACUAGGCUUCUGGCACCAUCCUGCACAAGAAAUUGGAGCAUAAGGGACAUUUCCACAUUCUAACUUUACAUGAAGACUCAGGACUUUGAAAGCCCAUGAGAAAGUUUUCAUAAGGAUUUAUCCACAAUUUCUUCUUUGAUUUGCUCAGAUGUGAAGCAG
rnacentral:lncRNA from 1 species